ACUAAUAGUUAUUUACAUGCUAAUAACAUACAAGUAUAAAAAAUAAGUCCUUCUAAGCCUGCAUGUAAAAAAUUGACAAUCCAUUGGUCCCUACAAAUUUAACCAGUUCCAUGGUAAUUACAAAUCACAUGAAAAAAGAAAAUUAAUUGUAUGACAUGUCCAGAGUAGUACAAAUGUAUUGAAUAUUUACAUGGAUUUAGUUAAAACAGUAAGGAUGAUGAAAAUGAACACAUUCAUAGUUAUAUGAUUGAGUUUUGAUCACUCGAAGUGGCUCAAUGUUCAAAAGAAUUUUCAAUGUUAAAUGAAAUUGUCAAGAUGAUUUAUAUUUAUUAUUGCCUUCUACUAAGUAUAUUUAUAAUCUUUGAUAUAAUAUUUAUGAUUUACAAUUGAUUAAGUGCCCUUUGCAUUUUAUACAAGUAUUACAUUCACAUUCAUGGGUAUAAUGGAGACUGGGGCUUCUGGUGUUAAGAGAACAUGUAUUGGUAUUCACGCACAAUGUUAACUUUGUUUUGAUAACCAUAUUUUGUCGAAUAUGAAACAGUAAUAUUACCUUAAUGUGUUGAGAUAUAUAUAAAACUUGCCUUUUUUAUUUUUUUUAUUUGCAUGUUUUGGAAUUUUCAACUUAUUUUAUUGCAGAAUAUGGUCAGGUUUCACAAAAUACUGCUGAAUCAUUCUUAUUCGUGGGGGUCAAUGUCUGUGGGUAGCAAAUUUUUCCUGGAUUAUUUUAAUUAUUAUCAAACAAAUGGUAUUCGUGAGGGUUACCCACGAAACCUAUGAAAAUUGGCCCCCCACGAACAAUGAUGAUUCCACAGUAUUGUGUAUUUUGUGCAAUAUUAAGGUUAUAUUAUCUAAUAGGUAUUAUUUGAUUUACACAUUAUUUUGAUUCUAAUUAUUGGGUAUGGGUAAAAAAAAUAUUGUGCAAUCUAUAUACAAACAAAAGUUAUUGUUUGUUUGGGUCAUGUUUCACAGAUAUAUUUUUUAAAUUUCUAUCGCUGUUAAUACCAGAAUGAAGACAAUUCAAAUGGUUUAAAUUAAAUUGGCAUGUAAUAAAUCAAGGUUGGUUUUUGUCUUUAUUUAAAGGCUUUGUGAAAUACAUGUACGGUAUUUGAACCAAAUUGUGUUCUUAUUACAAGAUUUAGCAUCUAUUCUACUGGGCAUUGUGAGUUUAAUAUUAGCAUUUAGAUUUUCAGUGAAUAUUUUUACUGUGUGUUUCUGUAUACUCAAUAUACAUGUACAUGUAGAUUUAGUUGUACGCAAAUGAUGUUCAUUUACAUGUACCGGGUUUAUAUUUUCAUUUUGCUGUUUACUUUAAUAUUACAACUCCCUUGAAGGAAACUCAGAAGUUUCAAAGAAUUAAGUAGUCUUCUCCAUAUCCCUUAUAUGUUGGCAUUUAUUUGAAACUAAAAAUUCAUUAUCUAAUAUUUUUUUCAGUGUAUAUUUUUGGAACAGUUAUUUUAUUAUUACUGGUUGUUGAUGUAAUGAUGUCUAACUUGUUUCUAAUGUUUUACUUCAGUCAAUUAUAUUUGUUAUAACAGUCCACUUUGUUAUGAAAUUUUUAUUUACCAGAGAGGGCAUUUUUGUUGGAAGUAAUACAGUUAUAUUUUGUUAAUAUAGUAAAUAAAUAUUUUGUUUUGUUGAAGAAUAUAUGAAUAUAGAUAUUUAUUUUUGGAUUAUUUCUGUCCAUGUUAAUUUUUCCCUUUUUCUGGUACAGUCCAAGAGUUGAUUUUUCUGUUUAGAAUUCUUUUUGGUUACAUGGAAGCAAUAUUACUAUUCUAAAUGUGUCCUCAAUGUUUGCAAACUAUACUGUCCAGAUAAUAAACAUAUUUAUUUGUUG
rnacentral:sRNA from 1 species